UGGUUCUGGCAUCGAUGAAGAACGCAGCGAAAUGCGAUAAGUAAUGUGAAUUGCAGAAUUCAGUGAAUCAUCGAAUCUUUGAACGCACAUUGCGCCCCUUGGUAUUCCGAGGGGCAUGCCUGUUCGAGCGUCAUUUAAUCACUCAAGCCCUGCUUGGUGUUGGGUGCGGCCGCCUAGGCCCACCCGUAACCCGUUGGCGGUGCGUACCGGCUCCUAGCGUAGCAAUCUUUCGCUUUGGGUGCCUGGUGCUCUCCUGCCACUUGAGACACAUCUAAAGUUUGACCUCGGAUCAGGUAGGGAUACCCGCUGA
rnacentral:misc_RNA from 1 species